AUUGUUGUUUAUAAUAAAUGGUUCCUGCCCAGUGAUUGGUUUAAACGGCCGCGGUACUCUGACCGUGCAAAGGUAGCAUAAUCACUUGCCUUUUAAUUGGGGGCUGGUAUGAAUGGAAGUUCGGGGGUUAAACUGUCUCUAGGCUAAAUGUGGAAGUUGCUGUUCUUGUGAAGAAGCAAGGGUAAUGCAAAAGGACAAGAAGACCCUAUUAAGCUUUACUUUUUGGCGUGGUCUUAAUCACUAGCACUGUAAAGGGGCAUGGUAAGAAAAAGUUUGGUUGGGGUGACCUGAGAAGAUAAAAUCUUCUACUGUUUUUUAAACAUAUUAGUUUAUAGCUGAUCCGGAGGGUUUCGAGCAAAAGAAAAAGUUACUAUAGGGAUAACAGCGUUAUUUUUUCUUAGAGUUCUAAUCGAAGAAAAAGAUUGCGACCUCGAUGUUGACUUGCCAUAUCCUGUGUUGUGGUGCAGAUGCUGCAAAGGUUGGUCUGUUCGACCAUUAAAAUG
rnacentral:rRNA from 1 species